AAGACUAUGUUUCAGGGAACAUUUCUAUAGUCCAUUACUAGAGAGGUUUUCUGACUGUGUAGAGUAUGGGAAGCCAAGGGGUGGGCUUACUGUCUUCCCUUGAGCAUGAAGCCAGCUCUUGGUGCUGCUUUGCUGCAACUGCCACCUGUCAUUGAUGAUAGUUCUUGUUCUCCUUGGGGGAGCUGGAGGGAGAGGACACAGUCUGAAAAAU
ensembl:snoRNA U3 Small nucleolar RNA U3